CAACCCUCAAGCUCAGCUUGGUAUUGGGUAUCACCUAGCAACUGGUGUACCUCAAAAUCAGUGGCGGUGCCCCUCUGGCUUCAAGCGUAGUAACUUUCUCGCUCUGGAGGUUGGAGGAGUGGCUUGCCAGCAACUCCUAAUUUAUCAUCA
rnacentral:misc_RNA from 1 species